AACGAACGCUGGCGGCAUGCCUAACACAUGCAAGUCGAACGAUUUCCUUCUGGUGAUGUUGGCUCACCGGUUCGUAACGCGUUGGAAUCUGCCCUAAUAUUCGGCAUAACAGCUUGAAAUGACUUCUAAUACCUGAGGAUAUCACGAGAUCAAAGAUUUAUCUGCUUAGGAUGAGCCCGCGUUUUGUUAGGUAUUUGGUGGGGUAAAGGCCUACCAAGCAUAGGAUUCAUAUCUGGUCUGAGAGGAUGAUCAGCCACUCUGGGAAUGCGACACAGACCAGAAUGCGACGGGAGGCAGGAGUAGGGAGUAUUGGAGAAUGGGGGCAGGCCUGACAACGCCACGUGGGGUGAGUGAUGAAGCGCCUAGGGUUGUAAAGCUCUUUGAGACGAGAAGAUAAUGACUGUAAUGGGAGAAUAAGCACCGGCUAACUACGUG
rnacentral:rRNA from 1 species